CCUACGGGUGGCAGCAGUGAGGAAUAUUGGUCAAUGGGAGAGAUCCUGAACCAGCCAAGCAGCGUGAGGGAAGACGGCCCUAUGGGUUGUAAACCUCUUUUGUCGGAGAACAAAACCCGGGACGUGUCCCGGACUGCGUGUAUCCGAAGAAAAAGCAUCGGCUAACUCCGUGCCAGCAGCCGCGGUAAGACGGAGGAUGGGAGCGUUAUCCGGAUUUAUGGGGUUUAAAGGGUGCGUAGGCGGUCCGUUAAGUCAGCGGUAAAAUUGCGGGGCUCAACCCCGUCGAGCCGUUGAAACUGGCUGACUUGAGUUGGCGAGAAGUACGCGGAAUGCGCGGUGUAGCGGUGAAAUGCAUAGAUAUCGCGCAGAACUCCGAUUGCGAAGGCAGCGUACCGGCGCCAGACUGACGCUGAGGCACGAAAGCGUGGGGAUCGAACAGGAUUAGAUACCCUAGUAGUC
rnacentral:rRNA from 1 species